rnacentral:rRNA from 1 species
UACGGAGGGUGCAAGCGUUGUCCGGAUUUAUUGGGUUUAAAGGGUGCGUAGGCGGCUUUUUAAGUCAGUGGUGAAAUCCUACAGCUUAACUGUAGAACAGCCAUUGAUACUGAAAAGCUUGAGUACAGACGAGGUAGGCGGAAUUUAUGGUGUAGCGGUGAAAUGCAUAGAUACCAUAAAGAACACCGAUUGCGAAGGCAGCUUACUAGACUGUCACUGACGCUGAGGCACGAAAGCGUGGGGAUCAAACAGG